CAGGAGCUGACUCCGGACUCAAAAGAGCUGGUGUGGUCCCCUGGGGAGGCCUGAGGUCGGGCAAGCUUCGCUUCACAGCGUUCGUUGGGUGGAAGCAGUGCAGCGUAAUGGUUAAGAGCCGGUGCCUAGAACCAGCGGGCCUAAGAGCGCACCCCCACCUUUGCACAGACGCACUAUGCAGCCUCGGGAAAGCUGCUUCACACCCUGCUGGAGCUGAAGUUCCUCCUCCAUAAAAUGCGCUUACAGGAGUCCUCACUUCCUAAGGUUUUUGCUGAGACAAAAUGCUUAGAACUGUGUUUCACAUCCUAAGUGCUCAGAGAGCAGAAUGGAGGCUCAGAGAGGGGAAGGCACCCGUAACAGGAUUUGCACCCCAAGCCUAGGAGGCCCUGGGGCCACUUGCUGUUUUGUGAAGGAUCCCUGUGCAGCCCUAGGGGUCCAGUACCUUUCCGGGAAAUCCGCUUUAGGUCUUGAUGUCUGGAUGCACCAGUGUCAAAAAAAUAACUCCUCCAGGCAGAGGUUGGAUGAAUCGUGGGUGGAGUUACCUUCGUUUCUCAGGCUGGUUUUCUCCAUUGCGCUGCCCUGGUUUCUGAGCCAAGCGGGCUGCGUUUCUAUUUGCUGUACUUCUGCUGGUCCUCAGCACUGGGAGGAGGAACUCAGGCUGUGCUCCGAGGGAGGAGAGGCAUGGGGGCCCGAGGACCAAUGACAACAGCUGCUUGCCUCCUUCCUUUCCACCCGGCCUGGCCGGUGCCCGACACGCCCGUGAGAUGCCACCACUCCUGCCCUUCGUCUUUGUAAGUUCUCUGCCACAGAAGCUGAACGAUGCCUUGGAAAGAAUUCUGGUUGGAUUCCAGGUCUGGCUAAAGCCAUGGGUCCCGUGAGAUGGUGGGCAAGUCAUCUCCCCUUUGGGAACCCUACUAUUCUUCCCUGUAAAAUAGGAAGGAAGAGUUGGAUUAAGUCAGUGUUUUCCAAAAUAUAAAACACAGCAAUGGUAGGAUGCCUAAUAGUCUUAGGGUCUCAAGACUAUUAAAUACCUUUGAAUCAGAUCGUGCUAUAGGUAUUUCCUUUUCUU
rnacentral:lncRNA from 1 species